CCUACGGGGGGCAGCAGUGGGGAAUAUUGGACAAUGGGGGCAACCCUGAUCCAGCCAUGCCGCGUGUGUGAAGAAGGCCCUCGGGUUGUAAAGCACUUUCAGUGAGGAAGAACGCCUGGUGGUUAAUACCCAUCAGGAAAGACAUCACUCACAGAAGAAGCACCGGCUAACUCCGUGCCAGCAGCCGCGGUAAUACGGAGGGUGCGAGCGUUAAUCGGAAUUACUGGGCGUAAAGCGCGCGUAGGUGGCUUGAUAAGCCGGUUGUGAAAGCCCCGGGCUCAACCUGGGAACGGCAUCCGGAACUGUCAAGCUAGAGUGCAGGAGAGGAAGGUGGAAUUCCCGGUGUAGCGGUGAAAUGCGUAGAGAUCGGGAGGAAUACCAGUGGCGAAGGCGGCCUUCUGGACUGACACUGACACUGAGGUGCGAAAGCGUGGGUAGCAAACAGGAUUAGAUACCCCAGUAGUC
rnacentral:rRNA from 1 species